UACGUAGGGAGCGAGCGUUGUCCGGAAUUAUUGGGCGUAAAGAGCUCGUAGGCGGUUUGUCGCGUCUGCUGUGAAAAUCCAGGGCUUAACCCUGGACCUGCAGUGGGUACGGGCAGACUAGAGUGCGGUAGGGGAGAUCGGAAUUCCUGGUGUAGCGGUGAAAUGCGCAGAUAUCAGGAGGAACACCGGUGGCGAAGGCGGAUCUCUGGGCCGUAACUGACGCUGAGGAGCGAAAGCAUGGGGAGCGAACAGG
rnacentral:rRNA from 1 species